GCCGUGAACCCUCUUGCACAAGACCUUUUGCAAACAUGUUUUGAUUUCUCUGAGUAAAUACCAAGAAGCGGAGCCACAUCAUAGGGAUAUUUCUGAGUAAGAUGAAAGUUCUCCUUCUGAUUACAGCCAUCUUGGCAGUAAUUGUUCAUGUCCCAGUCUCCCAAGACCAAGGAGAACCAUGAAGUAUCAGCGGGAGAAAUGACUCCCCUUCAGAGCUUUAUGUACAUCUUUACCAAUACCCAUUUGAAGCAUAUCCAGAAUUCCUAUAUCAAUGCUAACCAUGGUUUAGAUACUAUUACCUUCCUAUUCCAACACCUGUGUCUGUCCCUAAAGCUACCCCUCCUACUGGAUAGUCCACAAGAAAGAAAAGUCCCAGUGCAAUUUAAGA